UAGAGAGGCUAUAUACAGUAGAGAGGAUAUAUACAGUAGAGAGGCUAUAACAGUAGAGAGGCUAUAUACAGUAGAGAGGCUAUAUACAGUAGAGAGGAUAUAUACAGUAGAGAGGCUAUAUACAGUAGAGAGGUUAUAUACAGUAGAGAGGUUAUAUACAGUAGAGAGGUUAUAUACAGUAGAGAGGCUAUAUACAUUAGAGAGGCUAUAUACAGUAGAGAGGCUAUAUACAGUAGAGAGGCUACAUACAGUAGAGAGGCUAUAUACAGUAGAGAGGCUAUAUACAGUAGAGAGGCUAUAUACAGUAGAGAGGCUAUAUACAGUAGAGAGGCUACAUACAGUAGAGAGGCUAUAUACAGUAGAGAGGCUAUAUACAGUAGAGAGGCUAUAUACAGUAGAGAGGCUAUAUACAGUAGAGAGGCUACAUACAGUAGAGAGGCUAUAUACAGUAGCGAGGCUAUAUACAGUAGAGAGGCUAUAUACAGUAGAGAGGCUAAAUACAGUAGCGAGGCUAUAUACAGUAGAGAGGUUAUAUACAGUAGAGAGGCUAUAUACAGUAGAGAGGUUAUAUACAGUAGAGAGGCUAUAUACAGUAGAGAGGCUAUAUACAGUAGAGAGGCUACAUACAGUAGAGAAGUGUAUACAGUAGAGAG
rnacentral:lncRNA from 1 species